rnacentral:rRNA from 1 species
GACAGAGGCCUCAAGCGUUAGGCGGAAUCACUGGGCUUAAAGCGUGUGUAGGCGGAUCGUUAAGUGCCUUGUGAAAUCCCACGGCUUAACUGUGGAACGGCUGGGCAUACUGGCGGUCUUGAGCCAUCUAGGGGCGACUGGAACAAACGGUGGAGCGGUGAAAUGCGUAGAUAUCGUUUGGAACGCCAAUGGUGAAAACAGGUAGCUGGGAGUGUGCUGACGCUGAGACACGAAAGCCAGGGGAGCGAACGGG